CUUGGAGUAAGACAACAUGCAUAAAGAGGAUGAUGUGGUCAAAAUACUCAUUUGCCUAAUAAUUCUGCACUCCCUGUAUUUACACGGAUUCAAGAUAUGCCCUGGGAGUAGCACACGAUUUUGGCUUAAUUUGGAAGACCAGAGGAUUUCUUACGGCUACCGGCACCCCAGUAAAACAUGGGGCAGCCAUUGCAGAACUGAUGGAUGCAUUGGAACUUCCAGCAGAGGUGGCAGUACUGAAAGUAAAAGCCCACUGAAGACUAGACACAGAAGAAGCACGUGGCAACCACUUAGCUGAUCAGGCAGCUAAGGAAGCAGCACGGCAAGGAUGGGAAGUGGACAGAAGAGUGGCCACAGAUACAUUACCCAUCUACACUAUGCAAACACUGCCUACAGAUCUUAGGCUUCUGAAGGAACAACAAGCUGCUGCUACUCCCCAGGAGAAACAAAGUUGGAAGAAUAAAGGAGCUGUACUCCGUGAUGAUGUUUACACCAUCAAUCUCAAGUUCUGCUUACCCAGAAGUAUGUACUCAGCGGUGGUCCAAUGGGCCCAUGGGCCAGCCCACCUGUCGAAACUUCUGAUGAACUCACUGAUUGACAAGUAUUUUGAAGCACCAGGCAUUACUACCUUAACACAGAAUUACUGUAAAUCUUGUACUAUAUGCGCUAAAUGCAAUCCUGGAAAGAUUAUAAAGACUGCACCUAAUCAUCUAGCUAAACCACAAUACCCCUUCCAGAGGAUCCAGAUUGAUCACAUUCAGAUGCCAAAGAGUGGACGUUAUGAAUAUGCAUUGGUCAUGGUGGACAUGUUUUCAGGAUGGCCAGAGGCCUUCCAGUGACUAAUCUCACCGCGAGGACUACAGCCAAGUAUCUUUUGACAGAAAUUGUUUGCCGCUAUGGAGUUCCAGAAGUAAUUGAAAGUGACCAAGGGACCUCCUUCACGGCCUCGCCAACACGGGAAGUCUGGUCAGCACUGGGGGUGACCCUUGCAUUCCACACACCAUACCACCCACAGAGUAGCGGUAAGGUAGAACGCAUGAAUGGCACCUUGAAAGCCAGAAUGCUUAAGAUGUCACAAGAAACUAAUAUGCCCUGGCCCGAGAGUCUCCCACUAGCGUUAUUUAGUGUAAGGUACACUCCCAGAGGAAAAUAUAGCUUGUCACCUUAUGAGAUUUUGUUUGGUACAGCACCCAGGUUAGGUUGCUACUUUCCCCAACAGCUUCAGAUUCAGUCAGAUGCUAUGGUAGACUAUGUGACUGCCCUCUCACAUGCCUUGACCAAGAUACAUGCCCAAGUGUUUUCUUCUAUUCCAGAUCCUGAGUCGAAUACAGGUACACACAAGCUGCUUCCAGGUGAUUGGGUUAUGGUCAAGAAGUUUCUCAGAAAACACACCCUAGAACCGAGAUUUGAUGGUCCUUAUCAAGUGCUCCUGAUUACAGCAACGUCAGUUAAACUAGCUGGAAAGAGUUCUUGGAUACACGCUUCACAUUGCAAAAAAGUGCCUGCUCCAGAAGAGGCUGAUCCUGUUGAAAUAUGAAUUUAUUAUGUGUCUUGUGUUUUCUUAUGUUGCUACACUUUGCCUGGGCCCAACAAGUGGCCAUAACCAAAGAUAAUCACGUUUACACUUUUUGGUACAAUUCUUCUAAUACUGAUGUAGCCACGUACACCUUUGAUUACUGUGACAUAGUUACUUGUACAUUUCCACAAACACAAUAUGCAGCCAUAUACAAAGACAUACCUAACAAAAAGGAUCCAUACAUUUGUGUGACUGGAGGAGUUUGGGGACACCAUUGUAGUUCAUGGAAAGCUGCCGGGUGGAAUACAGGUAGACCAUGGGGCUACAGACCUCAAGUUGCACUGGACAGACUUGACAAAGACGGGAAACCCUUACUUUCUAGAAUGACUCUGAGUAAACCCAUAGGGUCAACUCCCAUUAAACUUACCCUGAAUAUAGAACACCCCAGCCCAAGGGACGCAGGAGAAUAUGUGAUGGGAAUGUACUGGAAGGGAGGUGGCUCACAUAAUGCAUUGGGGACAUUUUACCUACAAGACAUGCUCACCUCCCCAGACUGGGUAGGGACCACUCACAUGAUCAUUAACCCAUUAAAACCACAUAUUAAGACCCUACAUGACAUGGUAGCUAUAGCCAAUCCCACCUUUGAAGAUACCAUGGCAGUAGAGACUGGGUUUUCAGACACUAAUUUGUGGCUAGAAUGGAUGAGGUAUAACGCCAACUCACAUAAUAAGACUAACUGUUAUGUAUGUGGAGGAGCCAGGCCCCAUCUGGGCACAGUACCUCUAAGCCUACCUCCUGAAGUAGAAUUAUGUGUUCUGAGUCUUUAUGCACAAUCCACCACCAACUCCUCAACAUGUGAAUCAUGGAAGAGAAUUUACCCAAUCACUCAUGGACAUGUAAAACCACCUGAUGGAGUCACUGUCUACCCAGGUAAUUACACAUGUUAUACAAUACCUAAGAAUGCUGGUUUGUACCUGGGCAAAUUCCCAUCAGGAUACUGCUCAACUUACCAUAAUCCACCUGUAUCACUGCUAAUGAACCACACAAAGACAAAUCGGUGAUAUCUAUUGGUUAUGUGGUGACAAACAAUUGAGGUCCCAAUUAGCUGGGCAAUGGUGGGGGGAGUUUGCCCUAACCAAAGUCAUAAUGCCUAUCCACAUUAUUCCAGAUGGUAGUCAUAACACGUUAAACCUUACACAUGUACACUCUAGAACCAAACGAGAGGCUCCUAUCCGAGGGAGCUUCGACCCCCAUGUGUAUAUUGAUGCCAUAGGUGUGCCAAGGGGGGUGCCUAACGAAUUCAAAGCAAGAGAUGAAGUGGCUGCAGGAUUUGAAUCUCUAAUUCCAAUGAUAACUGCCAACAAAAAUGUCAAUUGGAUCAACUACAUCUAUUAUAAUCAGCAGCGCUUCGUUAACUACAC
rnacentral:lncRNA from 1 species